AGAGUUUGAUCCUGGCUCAGAUUGAACGCUGGCGGCAUGCCUAACACAUGCAAGUCGAACGGUAACAGGUCUUCGGAUGCUGACGAGUGGCGGACGGGUGAGUAACGCGUAGGAAUCUGUCUUUGAGUGGGGGACAACCCAGGGAAACUUGGGCUAAUACCGCAUAAGCCCUGAGGGGGAAAGCGGGGGAUCUUCGGACCUCGCGCUGGAAGAGGAGCCUACGUCUGAUUAGCUAGUUGGUAGGGUAAAGGCCUACCAAGGCGACGAUCGGUAGCUGGUCUGAGAGGACGACCAGCCACACUGGGACUGAGACACGGCCCAGACUCCUACGGGAGGCAGCAGUGGGGAAUUUUUCGCAAUGGGGGCAACCCUGACGAAGCAAUGCCGCGUGAAUGAAGAAGGCCUUCGGGUUGUAAAGUUCUUUCGUGGAGGACGAAAAGGUGGGUGCUAAUAUCGCCUGCUGUUGACGUGAAUCCAAGAAGAAGCACCGGCUAACUCCGUGCCAGCAGCCGCGGUAAUACGGGGGGUGCAAGCGUUAAUCGGAAUCACUGGGCGUAAAGGGUGCGUAGGCGGUGCAUUAGGUCUGUCGUGAAAUCCCCGGGCUCAACCUGGGAAUGGCGGUGGAAACCGGUGUACUAGAGUAUGGGAGAGGGUGGUGGAAUUCCAGGUGUAGCGGUGAAAUGCGUAGAGAUCUGGAGGAACAUCAGUGGCGAAGGCGGCCACCUGGCCCAAUACUGACGCUGAGGCACGAAAGCGUGGGGGAGCAAACAGGAUUAGAUACCCUGGUAGUCCACGCCCUAAACGAUGAAUACUAGAUGUUUGGUGCCAAGCGUACUGAGUGUCGUAGCUAACGCGAUAAGUAUUC
rnacentral:rRNA from 1 species